AACGAACGCUGGCGGCAUGCCUAACACAUGCAAGUCGAACGAGACCUUCGGGUCUAGUGGCGCACGGGUGCGUAACGCGUGGGAACCUGCCCUUAGGUUCGGAAUAACUCCCCGAAAGGGGUGCUAAUACCGGAUAAUGUCUUCGGACCAAAGAUUUAUCGCCUUUGGAUGGGCCCGCGUUGGAUUAGCUAGUUGGUAGGGUAAAAGCCUACCAAGGCGACGAUCCAUAGCUGGCCUGAGAGGAUGAUCAGCCACACUGGGACUGAGACACGGCCCAGACUCCUACGGGAGGCAGCAGUGGGGAAUAUUGGACAAGGGGCGAAAGCCUGAUCCAGCAAUGCCGCGUGAGUGAUGAAGGCCUUAGGGUUGUAAAGCUCUUUUACCCGGGAUGAUAAUGACAGUACCGGGAGAAUAAGCUCCGGCUAACUCCGUG
rnacentral:rRNA from 1 species